rnacentral:lncRNA from 1 species
CUGCCAAGGAUGACGCUCCGGCUGGGUGGGCACUGGGCAGAUCACAAGGUCAGGAGAUUGAGACCAUCCUGGCUAACACGGUGAAACCCCGUCUCUACUAAAAAUACAAAAAAUUAGCUGGGCAUGGUGGCGGGCACCUGUAGUCCCAGCUACUCGGGAGGCUGAGGCAGGAGAAUGGCGUGAACUCAGGAGGCGGAGCUUGCAGUGAG